UGUGCCUCAUACAUGCAAGUCGAACGAUAAGGUUCCUUCGGGAAUACAUAAGGUGGCGGACGGGUGAGUACAACAUAGGAAAUCUGCCCCAAAGCGGGGGACAACAGAGGGAAACUUCUGCUAAUACCCCAUACGAGCUUAGUUGAAAUACUAAUCUUGAAAGAUUUAUCACUUUGGGAUGAGCCUGUGCCUGAUUAGCUGGUUGGUGGUGUAAUGGACUACCAAGGCGACGAUCAGUAGCUGGUUUGAGAGGAUGAUCAGCCACAAUGGGACUGAGACACGGCCCAUACUCCUACGGGAGGCAGCAGUAGGGAAUUUUGCGCAAUGGGGGAAACCCUGACGCCAGCAACACCGCGUGAAUGUUAAGCCCUUCGGGGUGUAAAGGUUCUGUCAGUAGGGAAGAACAAAUGACUGUACCUACAAAGGAAGCACCGGCUAACUCCGUGCCAGCAGCUGC
rnacentral:rRNA from 1 species